rnacentral:rRNA from 1 species
GAUAAACGCUGGCGGCGUGCAUAACACAUGCAAGUCGAACGAUGAAGAUUAAAAGAUUUCUUCGGAAUGAACUUAAUUGGAUUAGUGGCGGACGGGUGAGUAACGCGUGAGUAACCUGCCUUGUACAAGGGGAUAGCCGUUGGAAACGACGAAUAAUACCCUAUAACAUCAAAUAAUCGCAUGAUAAUUUGAUCAAAGAUUUAUCGGUAUAAGAUGGACUCGCGUCUGAUUAGCUAGUUGGUAGAGUAAAAGCCUACCAAGGCAACGAUCAGUAGCCGGCUUGAGAGAGUGUACGGCCACAUUGGGACUGAGACACGGCCCAGACUCCUACGGGAGGCAGCAGUGGGGAAUUUUGCACAAUGGGGGAAACCCUGAUGCAGCGACGCCGCGUGAUUUAGAAGGCCUUCGGGUUGUAAAAAUCUUUUGUAUGGGAAGAAAAUGACAGUACCAUACGAAUAAGGACCGGCUAAUUACGUG